AUAGACUUAGCUUAAUAACAAAGCAUUAGCUUGUGACGCUAAAGAUAUGGAAAUAAUACCUUAGUAAAUCC
rnacentral:tRNA from 1 species